CCUUUUGUGGUGGACCCUUUUGACUGUCAGAAGCUCAGUGUCACAACUCAGUUUUGAAGCAUAUAUAUAUAAAGAGAGAGAGACUUUUUUUUGAAGCCCUGCUACAGUAGACAUUCUUUCAGAUGCCAGAGGAUGCUAUAGAAAAAUGCGUGCCCUCUUGUAAUACUUUGUUCAAGUUCUGAUCAGAAGGAUGAAUGAUGGAGCCCAAGAAGCCAGCUGAAAUGGCUGUAGCCAAAUUGCCACCAUCUUUUAAGAAAAGCCAAUGUCAAGGCUGGAGCAGGAGAGAAGGGGACCUGCUGUUAAUGACAAUGCUGAGCCAUUGACUCCACCCAUGCUGAAGACUGCUCAAAGGCUAGAAGUUGUGCUAUUAUAUAUGCAAGAUUCUUAUUGUCUAGGUAUUUAGGCUGGAAUCCAGUGGCAUGAUCUCGGCUCAGUGCAACCUCCGCCUCCUGGGUUCAAGCAGUUCUCCUAGAUCAGCAUCAGCGUCCCGAGUAGCUGGGAUUACAGGCACCCGCCACCAUGCCUGGCUAAUGUUGGUCAGGCUGGCUCGAACUCCUGACCUCAAGAGAUCCACCUGCUUUGGCCUCCCAAAGUGCUCGGAUUACAGGCAUGAGCUGCCACACCCAGCCUCCAAAUACUUUUUUUUUAAAUCAAAAUAAUGAUUUCAAUGACUGAGAUCUGUUAUGUAUUUCAACAUAAUCAUGUUUCAUAAAGAUUUAGUCUUCUGAAA
rnacentral:lncRNA from 1 species